AUCCUUGGUUUUUUUUUUCUCUUUCUCGCAUAUUUUUGAGUCAAAAUUUUCUGUUUCACUGUUGUUAAGCCAAGACCGACAUAUAUUGAACAUUUUGCAAGUCUCUCGACGGCAGAACUCCGUGUUCCGGUGACCGGCCGGCGUUCUCAUUCUGCCAGAAUAAUAAAUUCCGACGGAAUAUCGAGCUGGCUUCCCAUAUCUGGAGACGCUUCUUCCCAGCUCGAUCCCGACGGACGCCCGGUCUACUUCUGCCUCGAAAUACUCCCACUCCUGCAAUGGAUCUCAAUCCAUUCAGGCUGUGUUCUGGACUCAAAGUUAUUGGCUAUUUCAUGAUCCUGAUCGUUUUUGCUAUCGUCGUACUUUCGUAUUAUGCCGUCGUCGUUCUUAUCUGGGCUCCGCGUCUCCUUGAUGGUGGCUUCACUUCCUUCUUAUCUUUCACAAUUAUUAUCAUCUUUCAUAUCCUUCUUGUAAUGCUAAUGUGGAGCUAUAUUAGGGUAGUAGUUCAGGAUCCUGGUUCUGUCCCUGAAAACUGGAAACUAGUAUCGGAGCAGAACAUAGAGGAGGGCAACUCAGUUGCUUUAUCUGAUUAUGCAUCAAUCGAGAACCCUACUCCAACAUUAUCAACUGAACAGAUAGAAAGAAGACAGUCUCAGUCUAGAGGCUAUUGCAGUAAAUGCCAAAACGGCAAGCCACCACGUUGUCAUCACUGUUCUGUUUGUCAAAGAUGUGUUCUUAAGAUGGAUCACCACUGCAUAUGGGUUGUCAAUUGUGUCGGAGCUUGCAACUACAAGUUUUUUCUCCUUUUUGUGGUAUGGAGUUGGCUUUUGAACAUUUUGCUUAGUUUUGUAAUGCUUUUUGCAGAAAAAUCUAGAAGAAACACACCUGCAGUAUUCUUGCCUGUGAAUGAGGUCCUGAACAUGUCCGUAUCCUAAAUAUGGUGUACACAUUUUUGAUAACUACGUUGGACACUCUGGUACUGCUGCCCAGUUUUAUAAAAUUCUUUCGGCAAUCCAAGAAUCAGUCAUUAUUACCAGGCAAUAUUGCAGUCAUUUUUCUAGUCUUCGUUUUGAAUCUAGCCUUUUCACUCAGUCUUCUCUGCUUUGUAAUUAUGCAUGCAUCUCUGCUCUCAAGCAACACCACUUCAGUGGAGGUUUAUGAGAAGAAAAAAUCCCCGCAGUGGAGGUAUGACAUGGGCUGGAAAAGGAAUUUUGAACAGGUUUUUGGCGCUAAUAAGGUGUUAUGGUUCUUUCCGUUGUUCUCAAAGAAAGAUAUGGAGAGCAUACCGGCACUGCAUGGAAUGGAAUUCCCAACGCGUUCAGAUGUUGUAGACUGAGUCGUUAUAUAGGGACGUAUAUACAACUUUGUAUCAUUACCUCAGACAAUGCUACAGCAGAUGCUAGAGUAGGCAGUUUCCUAUUCACCAUCAAUUGAUUGAUUAAUAUUUUCAAAUUUACAUUAGGAGCAUGUUGGUUGUACUUAUUUAUCUUGUAUGUGUAAAUGUUUCUGUAACAUAAAUUCUGAAAUAUGUCUUUAUAUGAAAGCUCAAUUUGUUGUUGGUGACAUCUGAAA